rnacentral:rRNA from 1 species
UUAUUUUAAUAUAAAAAAGGGACGAAUGGAUAACUAGGAUGGACUAAAAUAGGACGGAAAAUCCGAAAAGACGAAGAAGAGACUUAGAAAUCGUUUAUCCUAGCGGAAAUGCAGUAAAAAGAACUGGGAAGUGAAACAUCUUAGUACCAGAGCCGGCGCAUAAGAAAUUUCUUAAGGGUCUGUGGCACAGAGAAAUCAAACGAGAUUCCGUAAGUAGCGGCGAGCGAAAGUGGAUUAGUCCAAUGACUUAUUUUGAAGCGAGUAAAUAGUGGAAAAUAGGUGCUCACACAUCUAAGACUAAAUGUUAGUUUCCAUACCGAAAGAGAGAGUACUGUAAAGGAAAGUUGAAAGAGAUUUUAAAAGAUCUUGAAAUGAGUCCCUUAGAGCAGUUGUGAUACAACGUACCUUUUGUAUAAUGGGUUCACAAGAUAAAAUUUGGCAAACUUAAGUUUAGAUCAUGAUCA